rnacentral:rRNA from 1 species
UACGGGGGGGGCAAGCGUUGUUCGGAAUUACUGGGCGUAAAGGGCGCGUAGGCGGCCUGUUAAGUCACACGUGAAAUCCCUCGGCUCAACUGGGGAACUGCGUCUGAUACUGGAUGGCUUGGAUUCGGGAGAGGAAUGCGGAAUUCCAGGUGUAGCGGUGAAAUGCGUAGAUAUCUGGAAGAACACCGGUGGCGAAGGCGGCAUUCUGGACCGACAUUGACGCUGAGGAGCGAAAGCCAGGGGAGCAAACGGG